GACGAACGCUGGCGGCGUGGAUUAGGCAUGCAAGUCGAACGGUAGGAUACCUUCGGGUAUCUGAGAGUGGCGAACGGGUGAGUAACACGUAGGUGAUCUACCCUCAAGAUUGGGACAACCCAGGGAAACUUGGGCUAAUACCGGAUGAAAGCAGCAGUGAUGUUGUUUGAAAGGUGGCGUAAGCUGCCGUUUGGGGAUGAGCCUGCGCUCUAUUAGUUAGUUGGCGGGGUAAAGGCCCACCAAGGCGAUGAUAGAUAGGCGGCCUUAACGGGUGGUCGCCCACACUGGGAUUGAGAUACGGCCCAGACUCCUACGGGAGGCAGCAGUCGAGAAUAGUCUACAAUGGCCGAAAGGCUGAUAGUGCGACGCCGCGUGAACGAAGAAGCCCUUCGGGUGUAAAGUUCUUUUAUAUGUGAGCAGUGCUUUCUAUGUGAACAGCAUGGGGAGAGAGAUAUUAGCAUAUGAAUAGGCAACGGCUAACUCCGUGCC
rnacentral:rRNA from 1 species